rnacentral:rRNA from 1 species
GAUGAACGCUGGCGGCGUGCCUAAUACAUGCAAGUCGAGCGAACAGACGAGGAGCUUGCUCCUCUGACGUUAGCGGCGGACGGGUGAGUAACACGUGGAUAACCUACCUAUAAGACUGGGAUAACUUCGGGAAACCGGAGCUAAUACCGGAUAAUAUAUUGAACCGCAUGGUUCAAUAGUGAAAGACGGUUUUGCUGUCACUUAUAGAUGGAUCCGCGCCGCAUUAGCUAGUUGGUAAGGUAACGGCUUACCAAGGCAACGAUGCGUAGCCGACCUGAGAGGGUGAUCGGCCACACUGGAACUGAGACACGGUCCAGACUCCUACGGGAGGCAGCAGUAGGGAAUCUUCCGCAAUGGGCGAAAGCCUGACGGAGCAACGCCGCGUGAGUGAUGAAGGUCUUCGGAUCGUAAAACUCUGUUAUUAGGGAAGAACAAAUGUGUAAGUAACUAUGCACGUCUUGACGGUACCUAAUCAGAAAGCCACGUCUAACUACGUG